rnacentral:rRNA from 1 species
UCCUACGGGAGGCAGCAGUGGGGAAUAUUGCACAAUGGGCGCAAGCCUGAUGCAGCCAUGCCGCGUGUGUGAAGAAGGCCCUAGGGUUGUAAAGCACUUUCAGCAGUGAGGAAGGGUUAGUAGUUAAUACCUGCUAGCUGUGACGUUAACUGCAGAAGAAGCACCGGCUAACUCCGUGCCAGCAGCCGCGGUAAUACGGAGGGUGCGAGCGUUAAUCGGAAUUACUGGGCGUAAAGCGCGCGUAGGUGGAUUGGUCAGUCAGAUGUGAAAGCCCAGGGCUCAACCUUGGAACUGCACCUGAUACUGCCAGUCUAGAAUACGGUAGAGGGUAGUGGAAUUUCCUGUGUAGCGGUGAAAUGCGUAGAUAUAGGAAGGAACGCCAGUGGCGAAGGCGACUACCUGGACCGAUAUUGACACUGAAGUGCGAAAGCGUGGGUAGCA